rnacentral:rRNA from 1 species
UACGAAGGGGGCUAGCGUUGUUCGGAAUCACUGGGCGUAAAGGGCGCGUAGGCGGCCGAUCAAGUCGGGGGUGAAAGCCUGUGGCUCAACCACAGAAUUGCCUUCGAUACUGUUUGGCUUGAGACCGGAAGAGGUCAGUGGAACUGCGAGUGUAGAGGUGAAAUUCGUAGAUAUUCGCAAGAACACCAGUGGCGAAGGCGGCUGACUGGUCCGGUUCUGACGCUGAGGCGCGAAAGCCAGGGGAGCAAACGGG